AUGCAGUCGAGCGGUAGCACAAGAGAGCUUGCUCUCUGGGUGACGAGCGGCGGACGGGUGAGUAAUGUCUGGGAAACUGCCUUAUGGAGGGGGAUAACUACUGGAAACGGUAGCUAAUACCGCAUAACGUCUACGGACCAAAGUGGGGGACCUUCGGGCCUCACGCCAUCAGAUGUGCCCAGACGGGAUUAGCUAGUAGGUGGGGUAAUGGCUCACCUAGGCGACGAUCCCUAGCUGGUCUGAGAGGAUGACCAGCCACACUGGAACUGAGACACGGUCCAGACUCCUACGGGAGGCAGCAGUGGGGAAUAUUGCACAAUGGGCGCAAGCCUGAUGCAGCCAUGCCGCGUGUGUGAAGAAGGCCUUAGGGUUGUAAAGCACUUUCAGCGAGGAGGAAGGGUUCAGUGUUAAUAGCACUGUUCAUUGACGUUACUCGCAGAAGAAGCACCGGCUAACUCCGUGCCAGCAGCCGCGGUAAUACGGAGGGUGCAAGCGUUAAUCGGAAUUACUGGGCGUAAAGCGCACGCAGGCGGUUUGUUAAGUCAGAUGUGAAAUCCCCGCGCUUAACGUGGGAACUGCAUUUGAAACUGGCAAGCUAGAGUCUUGUAGAGGGGGGGUAGAAUUCCAGGUGUAGCGGUGAAAUGCGUAGAGAUCUGGAGGAAUACCGGUGGGCGAGGCGGCCCCCUGGACAAAGACUGACGCUCAGGUGCGAAAGCGUGGGGAGCAAACAGGAUUAGAU
rnacentral:rRNA from 1 species